rnacentral:rRNA from 1 species
GACCUCAAAUCAGGUAGGAUUACCCGCUGAACUUAAGCAUAUCAAUAAGCGGAGGAAAAGAAACUAACAAGGAUUCCCCUAGUAACUGCGAGUGAAGCGGGAAAAGCUCAAAUUUAAAAUCUGGCGGUCUCUGGCCGUCCGAGUUGUAAUCUAGAGAAGUGUUAUCCGCGCUGGACCGUGUACAAGUCUCCUGGAAUGGAGCGUCAUAGAGGGUGAGAAUCCCGUCUUUGACACGGACUGCCAGGGCUUUGUGAUGCGCUCUCAAAGAGUCGAGUUGUUUGGGAAUGCAGCUCAAAAUGGGUGGUAAAUUCCAUCUAAAGCUAAAUAUUGGCGAGAGACCGAUAGCGAACAAGUACCGUGAGGGAAAGAUGAAAAGAACUUUGGAAAGAGAGUUAAACAGUACGUGAAAUUGCUGAAAGGGAAACGCUUGAAGUCAGUCGCGUUGGCCGGGGAUCAACCUUGCUUUUGCUGGGCGUACUUUCCGGUUGACGGGUCAGCAUCAAUUUUGACCGUUGGAUAAAGUCCAGGGGAAUGUGGCAUCUUCGGAUGUGUUAUAGCCCUUGGUCGCAUACAACGGUUGGGAUUGAGGAACUCAGCACGCCGCAAGGCCGGGUACUUGUACCACGUUCGUGCUUAGGAUGCUGGCAUAAUGGCUUUAAUCGACCCGUCUUGAAACACGGACCAAGGAGUCUAACAUGCCUGCGAGUGUUUGGGUGGAAAACUCGGACGCGUAAUGAAAGUGAAAGUUGAGAUCCCUGUCGUGGGGAGCAUCGACGCCCGGACCAGACCUUUUGUGACGGAUCCGCGGUAGAGCAUGUAUGUUGGGACCCGAAAGAUGGUGAACUAUGCCUGAAUAGGGUGAAGCCAGAGGAAACUCUGGUGGAGGCUCGUAGCGAUUCUGACGUGCAAAUCGAUCGUCAAAUUUGGGUAUAGGGGCGAAAGACUAAUCGAACCAUCUAGUAGCUGGUUCCU